rfam:West Nile virus from South Africa, complete genome
UGGAAGUCAGGCCAGACAAACGCUGCCACCGGAAGUUGAGUAGACGGUGCUGCCUGCGACUCAACCCCAGGAGGACUGGGU